rnacentral:lncRNA from 1 species
CCGGAAAAAUUGUUCCGGGAGAGUCUGAGACUCCGAAGGUUGGAGGAAAACGCAGGUAUGGUUCCUUGGAAGUGGUUCCCUUCGAGGGAGAGGUAGUUCAGGUUAACGAGUUUGUUGAGGGCUUUGGGGAGUGUUCCGGAGAGCGAGUUGUUGUCGAGUUUGAGCUGAGUCAGGUGAGUCAACUCGGUGAUCGAACUCGGUAAGGUUCCGGUGAAGCGGUUACCCACCAAACUGAGCGCGUAUAGUUUGGUGAGGUUGCCAAUGUUCUCGGGGAUCCGACCCGAAAGGUUGUUGUUUUCCAAAUAGACGUAUUCGAUGUUGGGAAGUUGGAAGAGGAAAGUGGGAAAAGGACCCGAAAUGUUUUUGAGGUCGAAAAGGUAGAGUCCGUCAAGGAGUCGGAGCUUGGAUA